CUUCUAAAGCUAAAUACCGGCCAGAGACCGAUAGCGCACAAGUAGAGUGAUCGAAAGAUGAAAAGCACUUUGAAAAGAGGGUUAAAAAGUACGUGAAAUUGUUGAAAGGGAAGCGUUCAUGACCAGACUUGGGCAGGUUGAUCAUCCGUGGUUCUCCGCGGUGCACUCUGCCUGCCCAGGCCAGCAUCAGUUCGCUCCGGGGGAUAAAGGCUCUGGGAAUGUGGCUCCUUCGGGAGUGUUAUAGCCCACUGCGUAAUACCCUGGGGUGGACUGAGGUUCGCGCUCUGCAAGGAUGCUGGCGUAAUGGUCAUCAACGACCCGUCUUGAAACACGGACCAAGGAGUCGUCUUCGUAUGCGAGUGUUCGGGUGUCAAACCCCUACGCGUAAUGAAAGUGAACGUAGGAGAGAGCUUCGGCGCAUCUCCGACCGAUCCUGAUGUUCUCGGAUGGAUUUGAGUAAGAGCAUACGGGGCCGGACCCGAAAGAAGGUGAACUAUGCCUGUAUAGGGUGAAGCCAGAGGAAACUCUGGUGGAGGCUCGCAGCGGUUCUGACGUGCAAAUCGAUCGUCAAAUAUGGGCAUGGGGGCGAAAGACUAAUCGAACCUUCUAGUAUCCGGUUUCCGCCGA
rnacentral:rRNA from 1 species